GGAGUGCAGUGGCGUGAUCUCACUCACUGCAACCUCUGCCUCCUAGGUUCAAGCGAUUCUCCUGCCUCAGCCUCCUGAAUAGCUGGGAUUACAGGCAUGCACCACCACGCCCGGCUAAGUUUUUGUAUUUUUAGUAGAGACAGGGUUUCACCAUGUUAGUCAGGGUGGUCUUGAACUACUGACCUCAGGUGAUCUGCCUGCCUCGGUCUCAUUUCCAUCCUCCCAGAACCCCUUUCUUCCCAACU
rnacentral:lncRNA from 1 species